CAAAUCUUAAGUUUUUGGACUCCAAGGGCUUUCAACACCUCACCUCUCUUCGCGAAUUGCGUAUCUCUAGAUGUCCAAAGCUCCAAUCCAUGCUGGUAAAGAAGCUUCCCGUUCCUAUCAUUUGGAUUGACGAUGAACUUAUUAUCAGGGACGCCCUUUGGCAUAAUUAAUGCAAUCUCACUCAGGCUGCUGGCACCUUACUUCGAGCUGUUGGUUGCAAAUUCUAGUUGAUGAUUGUCAGCCAAAUGAAGUUCCUCUUGCAUGAUUUGUCUUAGCCUGGAGCUUCAGGAGCUCAUUUUUCUAUCCAAGAAUCCUCUCCAUGAAAAAUUAUUGAAAGUUUCACUGCUUUUCAUCAAGCACUGCAAUUUUUCAUUUCAUAUUUGGAUUUUUGCUAGCUAGGGCAGCAACAAGGAUGUGCACAGAUUUCAAACCAAUAAAGAAUAAGGACUUCAACUCCUUCCUUCUCUUGUACAUAUUUGAUCAGCAACUGCCAUAUUCUCUAGAUCAUACCAGAGGCAGUGUCUACCUUGCCACGUUUCAUUCAGUUUAAGAACUUCUCAAGCAAAAAGGGCGACUGCUCCUUUUGGAAGAUCUUUGUCUUUGAGGGUUUUCCUGACUCCCUGGUAGUGGCUAUGGAUCCUAACUUCCUUUGGAACAGUUUUGUUCUGUAAACAGUGAAGAAUUUGGAGGCAUUCUCUCAUCUUGAAGAGCUUUACUUCAUAUUAUACUAAGCUAAUCAAGGUGUUGCCCUUUUGAUGAAACCUGAAAGUGAUGCAUUCGGGCAUUUUGUGGGUUAACUUCCAAUUGCAACAAUCCUUGAAAUUGGAGUCGGUUGCAUUUCAUUCACCGCCUUUUUAGGAAUGCUUUGUUGUUUACACAAGGUGAAAAAUUAGAGAUUUGUAAUGCUCCCAACUCAAGGAACUACUAGUGUCAUUCCUAUGAAGAGGUGGAUAGCUCGCUAAUUCACUCUGUGACUAAGCUCAUCCUCACAAAAAUGGAGAACAAAUCAAAUUCAAAUUCACCCUCUCAGAGUACUUGUUUCAAAAUGAAGCCUUAAGGUUUUGACAACUCUCGAAAUGGCAGGAACGGGUUUUUUCUGAAAACAAUGAAGAUGUGGGGGCACUUUCUCAUCUUGAAGAGCUUUACUUAAGACUGUCCUAAGCUAAUCGAGGUCCUGCCCUUCCAAUGAAACUUGAGGAUAAUGAAUGGGGGCAGAUUGUAGGCCAACUUCCAAUUGCAUAAUCCAUAAAUCAGAGUCGGCUGACUUUGGUUUGCUGCAUCUAACCAGGAAUCUCCUUCCUUCUUCCACACUGUCCUGAAGAGUAACUAGCACAAAUCUGCACAAGGUGAAAAUAAGGGAAUGCAAUAUUCCCAAGUCAAGGAACUAGUAUGCUGUCAUUCCUAUGAAGAGUUUGAUAGGUUGUACAUGGAGAAGAAGUGCAAUAGGCAUCCAUUCACUGAAGUGAGAAAGGCAAAGAAUAUUGGCAUCAAGUACUUGCGAAACAAGCUUUAGUUGUCAAAAUGAAGAAAAUGUCAGUACCUUCUAGUGACAGUUUUUUCUGCAAAACAACAACUCAAAUUUUUCUCAACUUUACAAAGGGUGAAAGAUUUAAGAGUGAGAGUGGCAAGAUUUCACCCAAUUCUCUGUAAAACUGACAACCUUGUGAGCAAAUGACUAAAGUUGGACAGGUCAUUGUUCCUUGUCUUUAUAAGUUUUCAUUGAGGUAGACAUUUUUCACUGAUAUUAAAUCAUCACUUGGUGAUUCCCAUCAUUUUCCCUUUCAAUGGUGACUCUGAAUUGCUUAGUUCUCUUUAAUAUUGUUUCAUUUGUCCUUUCAGAGCUUUUCAAGUUAUUGAGAUGUUCUGUCAAAGUUUGAAGAAGGUCCAGUAUCUCAGAAACAUGGUGAAGGCAGGAUAUCAUAUCCAGUAUAUUCUUUUCGUGGUCUUCCACUAAUGGACCUACAAAGCUAUAUACAAGAAAUCAAAUGCAGGCACCAAUUACAUGAAAUUUCAAGUGGUCUACUACUGGCUACAGCUGGAGGUUGAAUGUCUUUGCAGCAAGUUCAGUAUGCUUCAUUUCAAAUUUGGGCUUUGUCAAAGCAAUAUAGAGGAUGUUCAUACACUAUUGGUAGACUUCAACUUGGCGGACGAUAAGGAAAUCGACUCCACGUUAAUAACAACUGCAGCAUCCAGUCCAUGCCAGGCAGGCAUUUUGAAACGUAAGUAGCGCUCAACACAUUCAACAGAAAGGAGGGAUAGGAAAGUAAGGAAGAAGGCCUUUCAAAACACAUUCUGUGCACAUGUAUGGGCAAAAUCCUGUUCUUAUACAUGAUAAGGUCUGGUGGUCAGUAAUGUUUGUUUGAAGUCAGAUGUGAAUUGCAAUCUGGAUUCCUACCAUAUGUUUCCCAUUUUUAAGGCAUGCUGCGUUUUACUCGUACAAUUUUUAUUUUUCUUUCCCUGUUCAAUUGUUAAUUGCAUGUACAGUUGUGGCUACAUCAUGGCCCACAUGACUCUACAUAGUUGGAGCUUUGAAGACAUUAUCUUGUAUUAUCAUUGUUUUUUAUCCAUUCAAAUGCAGCUUUUUCUAUUAUCUUUAUUUAUUUAUUUUGUUUCUGAGCGAUAAAAGGUAGAAGUGAAGCAAAUUUUAAGUUGUUUGCCUACUUGGUUGAAUGCUAAGCUCAUAGUGAAUUGGUUAUUUAUAAUGAAAGUAUGAGUUGGUUAGUUAAUUGGUUUGUUCACACUACGAAAACUAUGUUGAGUUCAUGCCUUCAAUUACAUAUAUAUAUCUAAAGCUUUAACCUUUGAAAGUUAACUUUCAUACUUUCUUAAAUAAAAUUUCCCAGAAAAUGCUUUUUUUUCCUUUGGUGGUGUUUUGCUCCUCUGUAAUUUCCUAUGAACAAAUAAUUCAAGAAACCGGCUUGUAUGUUCUAUGUUUUAUGUUGAUUGCUAGCUUCUAGUAAAUUUUUAUAUAUUUGAAGCAUUCCAUUCAACGACCAUCAUGCUUUUGAGAAAAUUCCAAAUCAAGAGAUAGACUGGAAUGAAUUUAUCCAAUUAUCAGGAGAAAUUUUUUUGAAUGGAAUAACAUCAUAAAUGAAUGAAAAAUGUGAGAAGCAUCUGUUUCCCUGUAGAAUUUCCUACUAAAAAAAGCUGUCUCAAAGAACCAUACUAUACGACUUCGGCUACAAUGAUCAAAGGUGACUUGACUUUCUCUAAUCUGAUGAUACAAUUGCUGAAUUAAGCACAGAAACAAUUCCUUUGCUGUCACUUACUUUCAUCUUCUUCAGAUCCCUCUGUUGCAAAAAAACAAAGAGACAUGGGCGAGGCCUUAGUCGGUGGAGCUUUUCUCUUUGCUUCAAACCGAGUUCUGUUUGACAGGAUGGCUUCUCUUGACAUCUUGGAUGCAGAGGAUGUUGACAAGAUAGGCUUGCUGACCUUAAAAUGCUGUGUAUGCUGCGGAGGACCUCUUGGAUGAGAUUGCUACUGAAGCUCUUCAAGCAGAUCAGAAUCUCAGGAUCAAACAACUGUAAUGCAGAGUUUUCUAGUUAUUAAGAUGUAUUAUCAGAGUCUGAAGAUCUCAGUAACUCAAAACUUGAUGAAAGCUGGCAAAGGACCUGCCACAAGUCAGAGCAGGCACAAAUACUUAUGGUGAACAUUGAUGCUUUUCUCGUUAGUGCUGGAAGUUAUAUUUUCUAAUACAGGAGGUGACCUGUGCUUUUAGGAGGAAAAAAAAAUAAAAAGGACCUGUAACUAGUGAUCUUCAAUUAUUGUGAGUUAUCUUCCAGGCUGCCAAUUGCUAUUUGAGAUACAAGUUGAGUCUCUUUGCAGCUGGUUCUGUAUGCUUCAUUUCAAAAUUUUGGGCUGGCAAAACAACAUAGAGGAUCAUCUUACAUUGUUCAUAGACUUUCUUUACUUGGAUUUCUGAACUGCAAGAGGUCAAUAACAAUCACAACCUCCGGUUCAUUCCACACAAGCCUUUUCGAACGCAAACGACAGCUCCAACACAUUCAGCAGAAGAGAGGGAGGGAAGAAGGCCACUUCAAACAUAUCCUAUAUGCAGAACUGAAAUUGAAAUGCUUAUGUGAAGCAUAUAUGGGCAAAAUCCUGUUCUUGAUUUUGUUUGAAGUUUUUUCAUGUUCUUGAGGCAUCCAUCCGGUAGUUUGUUAGUCUCAGUAUCAACUGAUAUGGGCCAACAAACUCAUAAACCAAGUGAAAUGGUUGUUAGUCAAAGUAUCAACUAAUUUAGUUGGUUAAGUAUGCAAAACCUUGAGCUAACCAUAGAUGGGUAGCCCAACCAUUCAGGAAGAGACAUUGCUAUAAUAUAAGCCGAAACAUAGCUAUUUUGACUUGGGCUUCUGGCAAAGACCAUGUAAAAGACAAA